rnacentral:rRNA from 1 species
UGGGGAAUAUUGCGCAAUGGCCGAAAGGCUGACGCAGCGACGCCGCGUGUAGGAUGAAGCUUUUCGGAGUGUAAACUACUGUUGCCCGGGACGAACGGCGGAUUUUUAUCCGAUUGACGGUACCGGGUGAGGAAGCACCGGCUAACUCCGUGCCAGCAGCCGCGGUAAUACGGAGGGUGCGAGCGUUGUCCGGAAUCACUGGGCGUAAAGGGCGCGUAGGUGGCUUGGCAAGCGUGUGGUGAAAGCCCGGGGCUUAACCCCGGGUCUGCCGUGCGUACUACCAUAGCUAGAGUACUGUAGAGGCAGGUUGAAUUCCGGGUGUAGCGGUGGAAUGCGUAGAGAUCCGGAAGAAUACCGGUGGCGAAGGCGGCCUGCUGGGCAGUUACUGACACUGAGGCGCGACAGCGUGGGGAGCAAACAGG